rnacentral:rRNA from 1 species
AUUGAACGCUGGCGGCAGGCCUAACACAUGCAAGUCGAACGGUAGCACAGAGAGCUUGCUCUCGGGUGACGAGUGGCGGACGGGUGAGUAACGUCUGGGAAACUGCCCGAUGGAGGGGGAUAACUACUGGAAACGGUAGCUAAUACCGCCUAACGUCGCAAGACCAAAGGGGGGGACCUUCGGGCCUCACACCCUCGGAUGGGCCAAGAUGGGAUUAGCUAGUAGGUGGGGUAAUGGCUCACCUAGGCGACGAUCCCUAGCUGGUCUGAGAGGAUGACCAGCCACACUGGAACUGAGACACGGUCCAGACUCCUACGGGAGGCAGCAGUGGGGAAUAUUGCACAAUGGGCGCAAGCCUGAUGCAGCCAUGCCGCGUGUAUGAAGAAGGCCUUCGGGUUGUAAAGUACUUUCAGCGGGGAGGAAGGCGGUGAAGUUAAUAGCUUCACCGAUUGACGUUACCCGCAGAAGAAGCACCGGCUAACUCCGUGCCAGCAGCCGCAGUAA